rnacentral:rRNA from 1 species
GACGUAGGAGGCGAGCGUUGUCCGGAUUCAUUGGGCGUAAAGAGCGCGCAGGCGGCUUGGUAAGUCGGAUGUGAAAUCCCGAGGCUCAACCUCGGGUCUGCAUCCGAUACUGCCCGGCUAGAGGUAGGUAGGGGAGAUCGGAAUUCCUGGUGUAGCGGUGAAAUGCGCAGAUAUCAGGAGGAACACCGGUGGCGAAGGCGGACCUCUGGGCCUUACCUGACGCUCAGGCGCGAAAGCUAGGGGAGCGAACUGG